GGGGAGAUGGCUUAGUCAGUANAGUGCUUGCCUUGCAAGCAUGAGGACCUGAGUUAGGAUCCCCAGCAUCCACA
rnacentral:tRNA from 1 species